GUGGCAGACGGUGAGUAACACGUGGGAUCUACCCUUUGCUACGGAACAACUCCGGGAAACUGGAGCUAAUACCGUAUGUGCCCUUCGGGGGGAAAGAUUUAUCGCCGAAGGAUCGGCCCGCGUCUGAUUAGCUAGUUGGUGAGGUAACGGCUCACCAAGGCGACGAUCAGUAGCUGGUCUGAGAGGAUGAUCAGCCACAUUGGGACUGAGACACGGCCCAAAACUCCUACGGGAGGCAGCAGUGGGGAACAUUGGACAAUGGGCGCAAGCCUGAUCCAGCCAUGCCGCGUGAGUGAUGAAGGCCCUAGGGUUGUAAAGCUCUUUUGUGCGGGAAGAUAAUGACGGUACCGCAAGAAUAAGCCCCGGCUAACUUCGUG
rnacentral:rRNA from 1 species